UACGUAGGGUGCAGGCGUUAAUCGGAAUUACUGGGCGUAAAGCGUGCGCAGGCGGUCUCUUAAGACAGGUGUGAAAUCCCCGGGCUUAACCUGGGAACUGCGCUUGUAACUGAGAGGCUUGAGUGCGGCAGAGGGGGGUGGAAUUCCAGGUGUAGCAGUGAAAUGCGUAGAUAUCUGGAGGAACACCGAUGGCGAAGGCAGCCCCCUGGGUCGACACUGACGCUCAUGCACGAAAGCGUGGGGAGCAAACAGG
rnacentral:rRNA from 1 species